rnacentral:rRNA from 1 species
AUUGAACGCUGGCGGCAGGCCUAACACAUGCAAGUCGAGCGGAUGAGAGGAGCUUGCUUCUCGAUUCAGCGGCGGACGGGUGAGUAAUGCCUAGGAAUCUGCUUGGUAGUGGGGGACAACGUUUCGAAAGGAACGCUAAUACCGCAUACGUCCUACGGGAGAAGCAGGGGACCUUCGGGCCUUGCGCUAUCAGAUGAGCCUAGGUCGGAUUAGCUAGUUGGUGAGGUAAUGGCUCACCAAGGCGACGAUCCGUAACUGGUCUGAGAGGAUGAUCAGUCACACUGGAACUGAGACACGGUCCAGACUCCUACGGGAGGCAGCAGUGGGGAAUAUUGGACAAUGGGCGAAAGCCUGAUCCAGCCAUGCCGCGUGUGUGAAGAAGGUCUUCGGAUUGUAAAGCACUUUAAGUUGGGAGGAAGGGUUGUAGAUUAAUACUCUGCAAUUUUGACGUUACCGACAGAAUAAGCACCGGCUAACUCUGUGCCAGCAGCCGCGGUAAGAC